GACGAACGCUGGCGGCGUGCCUAACACAUGCAAGUCGAACGGAGUUAAGAGAGCUUGCUCUUUUAACUUAGUGGCGGACGGGUGAGUAACGCGUGAGUAACCUGCCUUUCAGAGGGGAAUAACAUUCUGAAAAGAAUGCUAAUACCGCAUGAGAUCGUAGUAUCGCAUGGUACAGCGACCAAAGGAGCAAUCCGCUGAAAGAUGGACUCGCGUCCGAUUAGCUAGUUGGUGAGAUAAAGGCCCACCAAGGCGACGAUCGGUAGCCGGACUGAGAGGUUGAACGGCCACAUUGGGACUGAGGCACGGCCCAGACUCCUACGGGAGGCAGCAGUGGGGGAUAUUGCACAAUGGGGGAAACCCUGAUGCAGCAACGCCGCGUGAAGGAAGAAGGUCUUCGGAUUGUAAACUUCUGUCCUCAGGGAAGAUAAUGACGGUAC
rnacentral:rRNA from 1 species